UGAAAUAUUCAUUCUAAAAUAGAUUAAAAGGUCGUAUUGGGCGAUCAAUGUAAUUUACUUAUAGGGCAAAGGUCCAAAAAUGCCCCUGAUGUUUACCCCGAUUUUUCACUUACACCUUAAAUUAUUAUUUUUUUUAAAAGUACACUCAACGUUACAAAUUUUGGCUCAACUAUGCCCCUCCCGUCAACGGAUCUGCCACUUAGAUAAAUGUGGCUGACUAGGCUGGACACAUGGCAAAAAUAAAAUUUAAUAAUAAUUUUUUAUUAUUUUCUCUUUCUCCUCCCUCUUUUCUCUCUCUCUCUCCUUUUUUUUUCUUCUCCCUCUUUUCUCUCUCUCUCUUCUAUUUCCUCUGUUCCUUCCUCUGUUCCGUUAUGCAGAUGAUCAUUCAGAUCUGUGCAUCAAUAUUUCCACAAGGCCUACUUAUAGAUGGAUUAUGCAAAUGAAUCCCCCCAUUACAAUAACCUCUCUCUUGCUUCUUUCUUAGCUCCAACACAUAAUCCAUCAGACCAUUUUGACAACUGGGGUCAGAAUAUAGAACAGGGGAAUGACUCCAUGCUGCUUUUUGACAACUGGGGUCAGAAUAAAGCAAGGUUAUUGAUGAAGGCCAGCCACCAUAUAAAUGAUGCAUAUAAAGAGAUGGAAAAUGUAAAGGGUGGCUACAAAAUCCAAGCACUUCUUUGCUCUCUCAAUCAAGUAUAGCAAAUAACCAGCCCUGCACAAACAUUAAAAUUAAAAUUACGAUGCUCUAGAGACAUUUAUUACUUCUUCAUAGUAAUUUCAGCACAAGCAGAAUAGACCAAAAAAUCAAAUCAACACAAACAAUUCAACCUCAGGUAACCCAAACCAUCAACUUUUAAAUAAUUAAACUAGAUAGAAUUAAAGGGCAAUAAUAAUUCAUAUAAUCUCAAAUUCUACUAUUUUUUUCACAAAUACCCAAUUAUUUAAUUUCAAUAACAAUUCAUAAAAUCAACUAACAAAUUCAUGAAACCCACAAAAAUUAUACAAUCAAUUUUCAAGUAGGCCAAUAAAAAAAAUUAAACAGGGGUAUGACAAAUAAAAGUUAAAUUAAAAUUAUGGGUAUCGAAAAGAUUCAAAACCCUCACCUGAUAUCAGCUCCAAUCUCUUAAAUUAAACCCAUCAAAUCUAUUCAAUGAAAUCUAUAAACCCUAACCAAUUUUGAAUUUUUCAAUUACAAGAAGAUAGAGAUUGAGAGGAGAGAGAAAAUAAAUGCGCAACACUUUGUAUACAUCGUAUCUGUGCAAAAAGAUAGACAGAGAGGGAUGACAGUUCCAGAGUUUUUGUCGCUUAAAUCCUAUCGGAAAAUCACCAGCAAAAGAAGAGUUAGUCAAAGAAUGAUGGAAGUUAAUGAAGAGAGGGCUUAGAGAGAGAAUGGGGUGUGGUUAGUGUUUAGAGAGAGAAUAUUUAGUUUAAUGGGUGAGGAUGAGUUGAAAUUUUUAUUUUGUUUUUUGUUUUUGUCAUGUCAGUUAAUUUUAACGUCCGUUUAUCUAGUUGUCAUUUUUUUUAAUGAGAGGGGCAUAGUUGAG
rnacentral:lncRNA from 1 species